rnacentral:lncRNA from 1 species
UAUCUGACCUUUGAAGAUAUGGCCGUGGCUUUCACUCAAGAGGAGUGGGGACAGCUGGACCCUGCUCAAAAAGCUCUGUACCAGGAGAUGAUGCUGGAAAUCUAUGGGCUUCUGGUGUCUCUAGCUAGAUCCUCUGAGAGUGUGCAGUUAUAGAAGAGUGUGAUUAUUCCUAUCUUGGCAUGGCAAACCUACCUCAUCCAUCUGUACCUGCUUGUCCUCCAUCAUGGGAGCAAACCGCUGGAGUUACUGAAGUAGACUAUUAGUCUUCAGAAGGUAUCCUGUCCCCAGCCUGGAGCUGCUGCGCCAGCGGGAGCAAGUGCAGGAGCCAUGGACAGUGAGUGGUCAAGUCCCCCUGCGGAAGCACCUGCGUAGGUGGCAGCAGAAAAACCAAGGCCAUAGGCACUGCAUGCACGUGUAAGCCAAAACUGUCUGAGGGAACCUCAUUCUGGGGAGAAUUAACACCAAAGACCCCAGGAAGCUUGCAGUGGGUGUAAAGUCCAUGACAGUCAGUCGGAAGUUCAGAAAAGACUCUUCAACCAAGAGCCAGAGGCCCUGGGGGGAAGAUCCCUGGGAAAACGCGUCCCAUACAGGGUGCUAUAAAGGUAGCUGAAGAAGAGGAAACUAUCUUCAGAUACAGUGAAUGUGGGAAGGCAUUUAGUAAGAAACAUCUCCUGGCUGGGCAUGAAAAGAUCCACUCUGGUGUGAAGUCCUACGAGUGUACAGAAUGUGGACAAGUGCUCUUCCUAAAGAGUACUCCUCUCCUCUAGCACCAGAUGAUCCACACAGGCGAGAGGCCGUACACGUGCCUGGAAUGUGGGAAGGCCUCCCACCACAAGUCAGACCUCACCCGGCACCAGCAGAUCCACAGUGGGGACAGUGAGAUCCACCAGUGCAACAAAUGUGGGAAAUCCUUUACCAACGCUCCAAUUUUGUUCUGCAUAGCAGGAGACAUAUUGCAGAGAAAUCUUUUGUGUGUACUGAAUGUGGACAAGUCUUUUGACAUUGGGGAGGUUUCGUUAGACACUUUGUCAUCCAUGGUAGAGAGAACCCAUACGAGUGCUUUGAGUGUGGACAGAUCUUCAAACACCUCCUGUGGCACCAGCAGACACACAUAGGAAAGAAGCCCUAUGAGUUCAAUGAGUGUGGGAAAGUCUUCCUUGAGAGUGCUGCCCUGAUCCACCACUAUGUGAUCCACACUGGGGAGAAGCCCUUUGAGUGCCUCCAGUGUGGCAAAGCCUUCACCCACUGCUCUUCGUUUAUCUUGCGUAAAAAAAGUCCACACCAGAGAGAAACCCUUUGAGUGCAAAGAGUGUGGGAAAGCCUUCACCAGUCAGAAAGAUCUCAUCCAGCACUUCAGCAUCCACACUGGAGAGAAGCCCUAUGAGUGUGUGGCAUGUGGGAAGGCCUUUCUGUGCCUGUCAGGUCUUACGAGGCACCAGCGAGUUCAUAGUGGGGAACGUAUUUGAAGUAUUGAGUGUGGGAAGACCAUGCCAUCAUCCACACUGGGGAGAAGCCGUGUAAGUGCACUGAACGUGGGAAGGUCAUCAGUCUCAGCUCAUCCCUCAAUCAGCAUCAAAAGCUGCAGUGACAGAAGCCCUACCAGUGUGGCAGAGAAGGGAAGACCAUUCACAGCCACAUAGCUCUCAGUUAUCCUCUGUGAACUCCUUCUUGGGAAAGGGAAAUCUUUUCUCACAAGAAACGUCUUCUUCAGGAUCUGAUCCUCUACACCAAAGGGAAGCGGCACCAGUGUCUUGACUAUAAAACAAACAAACAAGCUAGCAAAACCCUUCCUAUGACAGCAUACCCUGUCAUCUGAAGAGCAACAGCAGCAGCAGACCCAGCCUUAUUUCCCCUCUGAAAAUUCAACCAGGAAGAACUCCAGGGUUUGGGGUGGGUUGUGGUAGGGGUGGGAUCUUGUUUUAAGUUCACACAGGAAAACUUCAGUCACAUCUCCCUACAAAUUUACAUCGUCGUGUUAUCUCAGGGAUUGUUUUACAAAGCAGAUGCAGACAAAAAUAAAAUCACAGAUCUCUUCAGACCUCCCAGACAAACCUAUGGCACUGUGAUAUCGACUCCUCAGCUUAUUGGAGUGAGGUGAGUGUUUUAGUGGUCAAAGCCUUUGGCCCUUUCUUGUGCCUUGUGUAUUCACAUGGUGUUGGGGAGUGAGCUGAGACCAAGCCUGUAAACAUGUAUUGCAUAUCUUUGUGUCCUAAGAUACUAAUCUUGAGACCAGUAACCUUUGUGAUGAACGAGGGACACUUGAGCCGUGAAAUACUUCAUAUGUAAGGCAAUAAGGAUCCACAUUUUUCCUAAGUAUCUGUAUUCUUGCAAAUUCCAACAGCCUUUUUGUUUUCCUUUACCAAGAUAUACCUUUCUCUCUGUCUCUCUCUCUCUCUCUGUCUCUCUCUCUGUGUAUGUGUAUAAACUCUCUUAACUGCUGAGCCAUUUCUCUACCUCUUUCAUCAUAUAAAUAUACACCUUUCUUUACAAUAUACAGCUGAAAAUUUUGCUUGUCUUUGUAGGGUGAAAAUAAUAAAGCUUGUGUUUUCAGCUGUUUCAAAAUUUUUUCAGAUUAAAAAACAAAUAUAGUGGAGCUGGGUGGUGGACUCCUUCUUUAACAGGCACCUCAGAUU